AUCCUGUUGUAGUUCACUAGAGUGAUGAUUGGGUUUUCGUGCUCAUGUGUGACACGCACUCCCUGAAACCUUGUUAUGAAGUCAGCAUAUCAUCCCUCUGAUG